GUUUUAAUAAUUUAAUUAAAAAUAUUGGUCUUGUAAACCAAAUAUAAGUCUUUCUUUUAAAACU
rnacentral:tRNA from 1 species